rnacentral:rRNA from 1 species
AUGGCGGAGGCGGCGCCGCCCAAGCUGCUCUACAUUGCCGUCGCCGACGGCGGCGGCCGGCGGACCUUCCGGUACACGCGCCCCGUCCUGCAGAGCACCCUCCAGCUCAUGGGCUGCAAGGCUCGCCACGCCUUCAAGAUUAGCAAGAGAGUGUUCAGUGUGAUGAGGAAUGAAUUCUUGGAUGUGUCGAGAUCGGAUAGGGCUAUUAAAGAUGAAAAUGCCCCUAGCCUAGGCAUUGGGGAAGAUGCUGAGAUGCUUAACACAGAAAUUCCAGACGCAAGUAGCAGCAGCUUGCCCUUCGAAUUGUACAAGACGCAGACAACGAUUCUUGUUUCAAGAGAGAGGUUUCUGAAUAUCGUGUGUGACGCACUCUCUUCUUACAAGUAUGUUGGACCAAACCAGAAGGCUGACUUUCUUCUUGCUUGCAGAAUUAAGGAGAAAAAGGAAUCGGUGACAGUACUCUUGUGUGGGACAAGCGGAUGCGGCAAGUCCACCCUAUCGUCUCUGUUGGGUAGUAGAUUGGGCAUGACGACAGUGGUUUCUACUGAUUCUAUACGCCAUAUGAUGAGAAGCUUUGCAGAUGAAAAGCAAAAUCCUCUUCUCUAUGCGUCAACCUACCAUGCAGGAGAAUACUUGGACCCUGUUGCAGUUGCUCAGUCAAAGGCUAAGCGCCAGGCAAAGAAGCUCGCAAUGGUUUCUAAUCCUAACACAAAUGAAGGCCAAGAUGACACUCCAGAUGUUAAAUCUCGUCACGGCUCCUCAGUAUUACCUCCUAGGACCGAGCUGAUUGGCAGCAAACAAAUGGCAAUAGAAGGGUUCAAGGCGCAAAGCGAGAUGGUCAUCGACAGCCUGGACAGAUUAAUUACAUCCUGGGAAGAGCAGAAGCAAUCUGUUAUUGUUGAAGGAGUUCAUUUGAGCCUCAAUUUUGUGAUGGGGCUAAUGAAGAAACAUCCUUCCAUAAUACCAUUUAUGGUAUACAUUGCAAAUGAGGAGAAGCACAUGGAACGGUUUGCUGUGCGCGCAAAGUACAUGACACUGGACCCAGCAAAGAACAGAUAUAUCAAGUACAUCCGGAACAUCAGGGCUAUUCAGGAAUACCUUUGCAACCGAGCAGACAAGCAUCUUGUGCCCAAAAUUAACAACACUAAUGUUGACCAGAGCGUGGCAGCGAUACACGCCACGGUUUUCAGCUGUCUUCGCCGGCGAGAAGUUGGGGAGCAGCUGUAUGACCUCAACACAAACACUGUUCCUGUAGUGGAUGAGGAAUACAGGAACCAGCGUGCAGCUAACUCCUUGGGUUCCAAGGGCAUGUUCCAGUUCAUUCAAAGGAAGGGGUCUUCGAGGAAUCUGAUGGCUCUCCUUAACCCUGAUGGUUCGGUGACUAAGGCUUGGCAUGUAGAUUCAGGUGAUGGCAAUGCUAAUGGCAGUACAGGCAGUGGUAGAUCAGUAGGGAAUCAUAUGGUUAACCCAUCACAAAUUGGGAAGGCAGAGUCAGUUAAUCUCCAGUUUGGUUCUUUUGGGAUUAGCGCGUGGCUGAGUGACACAGGCGGUGGCACCAGCCAUACUGGAAGUGUAGAUGACCUGAGGGCUGAUGGGAUCGAGACAAGCGGUAGAUACUUCUCCUCAUGCUGCAGCUCACCAAAAACGUCAGACUGCGCCUCCAAAGAGUCGAUUGCUGAUGCUAUACAUUCCGAUCUAACGACUGCUCUGGUGACCUUUCUCCAGCAUAUGGAGGAUUAUUCAGUCUAUGGUAGUGAAGAGGAUGCUGACGACCCACCUGAUGCUGAAACUGAUGAGGAUCUAACUGAUGAAGAAAGGGAUGCUCAUGAGAUUGAAGCGGGCUCCGUCGACGAGCACUCCACCAAGUCUGACGAGGAGUACGACGACCUAGCCAUGCAGGACGUGAUGGGGAACGGCAACUGCUCCGACGACGACGAGCAAGCUGCAGGGUACGGCACCAGGGGCUCACAGCCCAUGGAGGAGAGCAUCCUUGGAGCAGAUGGCGCCGUGGUGGAGGGCAGGUACCACCACAACCUGGACCUCUUCACGAUGUCCAAGGACGUCGCCGCCACAAAGAUGCCGUGCGCGUGA